rnacentral:rRNA from 1 species
AUACGGAGGGUGCAAGCGUUAUCCGGAAUCACUGGGUUUAAAGGGUGCGUAGGCGGCUAAAUAAGUCAGAGGUGAAAUCUUUCCGCUUAACGGAAAAAUUGCCUUUGAAACUGUAUAGCUUGAAUGAAGUUGAGGUUAGCGGAAUGUGACAUGUAGCGGUGAAAUGCAUAGAUAUGUCAUAGAACACCAAAUGCGAAGGCAGCUAGCUAGGCUUGAAUUGACGCUGAGGCACGAAAGCGUGGGGAGCGAACAGGAUUAGAUACCCCAGUAGUCC